rnacentral:rRNA from 1 species
CGGGGGGCAGCAGUGGGGAAUAUUGGGCAAUGGAGGAAACUCUGACCCAGCGACGCCGCGUGCGGGAUGAAGGCCUUCGGGUUGUAAACCGCUUUCAGCAGGGAAUAAGCGCAAGUGAAGGUACCUGCAGAAGAAGCACCGGCUAACUAUGUGCCAGCAGCCGCGGUAAUACAUAGGGUGCAAGCGUUGUCCGGAAUUAUUGGGCGUAAAGAGCUCGUAGGUGGUUUGUUACGUCGGUUGUGAAAUUCAGGGGCUCAACCCCUGACUUGCAGCCGAUACGGGCAAGCUAGAGUUUGGUAGGGGAGACUGGAAUUCCUGGUGUAGCGGUGGAAUGCGCAGAUAUCAGGAGGAACACCGAUGGCGAAGGCAGGUCUCUGGGCCAAUACUGACACUGAGGAGCGAAAGCGUGGGGAGCGAACAGGAUUAGAUACCCGAGU